AGGAAGUAACCAAGGACAAAGUCAGGGUUGUUAUGGAUUGAAAGGUGUUCCACCUAAAUUCAUAUGUUGAAGUCAUAAUCCCCAGUACCUCAGAAUGUGACCUUACUUGGAAAUAGGGUCAUUGGCAGAUGUAAUUAGUUAAGUUACAACAAGGUCACACUAGAAUAACGUGGACCCUUAAUCCAGUGUGACUACUGUCUUAUAACAAUGAGACAUGGGGACACACACAUGCACAUGGGAAGAACAUCUUGUGAACAUGAAGGCAGACAUUGGAGUGAUGCAUCUGAAAGCCACAGAAUGCCAAAGAUCGCCAGCAAGCCACCAGAAGCCAGGCGAGAGGAUGGAACAUACUCUCCCUCACAGCCCUCGCAGAAGGACCCAAUCCUGCCAACACCUUGAUCUUGGAUUUAGAGCCUCUAAGAACUACUUUCAGGUCCCAGCCAGACCAGGUCCCAGGACAGCUAUGGAUGAACUCCAACCCCACUUCCAGAUAGGAGCAUACAGACAAGUUCCCCACUACCCUCCACUGGGAAGAUGUCAAAACUUGGAAGUCCUCACCCAGCAGUCUCCUCUUUCUCAUCAUGGAGUCGUUUAAGGAUGUCCAAUAAAGAGAUAAACUGAACACAGAAAUUGCAACGUACGUGGCCUUCAGGUUGAAUCAGACCCCAAAACACAGUAUAUUUUGCUUGGCAAGCUCAAAAUUUUAAAUUUGGAAGACUUCAUAUAAAAAUACAGAUUUCUAGCGUCACAAGAUGCAGUCAUCAAAUUUCAGAUUGUGGGUAACUCUAGAAGUCAAAUGAUUUCUUCCACAAAAUUUUUGUAGUAAUAGCAAGGAUAAAAGAGAGGGACGAAACCUGUAAUAAAAUAAAACUUAAAAGAACAUUCAUACAAUGGA